rnacentral:rRNA from 1 species
AGCGAACGCUGGCGGCGUACCUAACACAUGCAAGUCGAACGGGGAUCACAGGGUUAGCAAUAACUCUGUGGUUCUAGUGGCGCACGGGUGAGUAACACGUGGGUAACCUGCCCUUGAGACUGGGAUACCCCCUCGAAAGGGGCUAAUACCGGAUACGUUCCUCGGAUCGAAAGGUCUGAAGAGGAAAGGUGGCGAAAGCUGCCGCUCUUGGAGGGGCUCGCGGCCUAUCAGCUAGUUGGCGGGGUAACGGCCCACCAAGGCUAUGACGGGUAGCUGGUCUGAGAGGACGACCAGCCACACGGGGACUGAGACACGGCCCCGACUCCUACGGGAGGCAGCAGUGGGGAAUUUUCCGCAAUGGGCGAAAGCCUGACGGAGUGACGCCGCGUGUGGGACGAAGGCCUUCGGGUCGU